AUGAUGUGUAUCACACACGCCUUCAUCUGGCUGCUUGUUUCUUUUGUUCACUACAACAAGAACAUACAUACACCAACGCAUCUUUAGCAACGGAGAGACAACAUGUGUUGUUGGGCCGUGGCCUCAACCUCUCCCACCUCCCCACGAAUAGCUAACCUCCUCCCCUUCCUCCACUAAAAAGAAGCUAACCUCCUCUCCGUGCCCACCUGCUCCUCAUCUUCCUCUCCUGUCUCCAUAAUCAUCUCCUCUCCAUCCUCAACACACCACCGUCUUUGUUGGUUUUCCGAUUAAACGCGGAUCAAGUUCCCCGGCAUGCUUAUCCUCGAGCAAGGAAAUUUUGGGUUUGAUUUCCAAGGUACCUGGUGGUGCCACCGGUGGCCAUGAUCUGGGGCGACGGCGAGGACAUCUUGAACACCGACCUAUCAAAGUUUGAGAUCCGGUCCAGGUUCGUGUCUGGUAAGCCGUCCGCAACAUCGCCGUGAAGAUGGUGAGCUAGCCAGAGCUGGAUGUCGCCAUCGCUGCCCAGUUCAAGCACAGCUUUCGAGGUCUCCCUCCUCCUCCGCCACCAAAACAUCAUCACCAUACCUACUGUAAUACUCCUCCUUUCUCAGUCCAACAUUUUCUCAACCGCCAUCUUCAUCGAUCAGAUCCACAAGAGUUGCCUGGCGAACGCGUCCACGUAUCUCUGUUGGAUCAUCUAGUUCUUAGUCUAUUUAUUAUUUCAGUAUCUGCGCUAGGAUUUUCCCUAUGGUGUUGUGAAACACGGAAGGCCCAAAUAUCCGCUUCUCCAUUCUAGAACUUUCAGUUCUAGGGAAUGCCUCAUUAAUUAGUUUCUAUCUAGUUCAACAUGUGUAGGUUCUUGCUUCUAAGCUGACUGAUUUACAUAUGCGACCAUGGAUAUCUUUGUUAAUUCAGGAAGAAUAUUUGCAUCCUCUUUUUUCUAACAAUUUUUUUCUUGUGAUGCAUUAGAUUUUCUAUUUCUUGCUGCUAUGUAAGUGAGUAAUCAAUCAGUAUUUUCAAGUGAAGUUGAUCAUCACAGAAUCGUUCAAUUAGCUCCCAAUAUUAUCUCAGAUUUAUCCUAGCUAUGACCAUGUCAUCAAAGAGCAUUCCAUCACAUAUCAAUAGGUCAACACUAUUAACAUCACCAAAUUAGUGUUAUGGAUGCUUACUAAUUUUGCUGACACACUUUGUACUAAAGGAAUGAGCCCACAUACAAAUGUUAUCUUGUUCCUAUAGGUUCUGUAUGUUUCCUGUGCCGUACCAGUUCUCACCUAUUUGGUGUCCGCAUCAUCAGUAGACAGUUACACCAAUACUAUCCAUCUGGUUACACUUCUAGCCCUCCAUCAUCGUAGGUUUUUUGGGUUAGAAUUUGGUUUAGGUGUCAACGUGCAGGGCAAGGAUGAUAGCUCCUCGGUGGGCAGUGGCGUUCGAUGGGCAGUGGCGUUGUUAGGUGUGGCUCCCUGAUCUGUGGUAGUGGCUCGGCUGCUCUGCGCUGAAUAUCAUGCAGGAUGCAGUAGUUAGAAGUAAUACAGAUAUAUGGUGUACUUGCAGCUACUGAUUUAGUACUGUUAACUGUUUAGCCAAGGAGGUAAAGUUCUGCAUCUACAGCUACUAGGCAAAUCAAAACUAUUAACUUCUUGGAUCUUUUUUCUACAAUUCCCAUCUCAUUUAGCAAUGUACUUGAAACUGGUUGUAGAGUAUUCUACUUUGCAGCAAUUUUUUGGUUCAAACAACACUAAUUGUUAGUGAAAAAAGCAGUUUGCAAAUUAGGAUAGUGAUCAUUUACGUGAAAUACUAAACCGUCCCUUGACAAUGUUUGUUUAUUUCUUAAAUAUAUUUUCAGCAUACUAACAUCACUUUCUCAGUACUUCAGGUUAACUUAGAGUACAUAUUCAGUAUACAAUAAAUUAGAAAAUGAGAUGAGCAAUUUGGGCUUGUGACCAGUGUAUGAAUAAUGAUGUAUUGAUGACUUGCAACCAGUCUACAUUGUCUUUUGUAAGUGCGGAACUUAAUUUUGUUUGUCAUGUUCCUUAAGUUUGUUAUUGGCUUAUGAAAGUUAAAUUUUAGCAUACAUAUAUUUGUACAGGUUUUUGGUCUUCUAAAUUACUAAUUCAUUUCUUAAAUCUGCAGGUUACAGAAACUGAAUAUAUAAUCUGCGUACACAGCUACUAUGGUGCCCCGCCUUUAUAUUUGUACUCCUCUAUUAACCUUAUUUUUUAUUGUAAUUUACUCACCUCAUUUUCUUGUUUUUGUAGAUUGCAAGAUAAGUUGACAAUUCAUGGCUAAGAUGUUGAUUGCAAGGUCAAGAAAGAGGCUACUACUAGAUAAUUAGAAUGUCAUUUCCAGGGCCAAUGUUUUAAACCUUGUUGUAGAUUGCAAGAUCUAUAAUGGGGCUACUACUAGAUUGUUUCAAAUUUUGUAAUCUUUGGAUCAUGAUCUUUGUAUUGCAACACAAUCGAUUUAAUAUAUGAGUCUUUUUUUAUUA